GAGCUUGUAAGGAAUACCAAGAACUGCUAAUUCUUCUAACCAUGGUUCGAUUCCAUGGCCUGCUCA
rnacentral:tRNA from 1 species